UACGGAGGGGACUAGCGUUGUUCGGAAUUACUGGGCGUAAAGCGCACGUAGGCGGAUCGUUAAGUCGGGGGUGAAAUCCUGGAGCUCAACUCCAGAACUGCCUUCGAUACUGGCGAUCUUGAGUCCGGAAGAGGUGAGUGGAACUCCUAGUGUAGAGGUGGAAUUCGUAGAUAUUAGGAAGAACACCAGUGGCGAAGGCGGCUCACUGGUCCGGUACUGACGCUGAGGUGCGAAAGCGUGGGGAGCAAACAGG
rnacentral:rRNA from 1 species